rnacentral:rRNA from 1 species
UACGUAGGUGGCGAGCGUUAUCCGGAAUUAUUGGGCGUAAAGAGCGCGCAGGUGGUUGAUUAAGUCUGAUGUGAAAGCCCACGGCUUAACCGUGGAGGGUCAUUGGAAACUGGUCGACUUGAGUGCAGAAGAGGGAAGUGGAAUUCCAUGUGUAGCGGUGAAAUGCGUAGAUAUAUGGAGGAACACCAGUGGCGAAGGCGGCUUCCUGGUCUGUAACUGACACUGAGGCGCGAAAGCGUGGGGAGCAAACAGGAUUAGAUACCCU